AUUGAACGCUGGCGGCAGGCCUAACACAUGCAAGUCGAACGAGGGGCGGACAGGUGAGUAAUGUCUGGGAAACUGCCCGAUGGAGGGGGAUAACUACUGGAAAAGGUAGCUAAUACCGCAUACCAUCGGAUGUGCCCAGAUUGGAUUAGCUUGUAGGGGAGGUAACGGCUCACCUAGGCGACGAUCACUAGCUGGUCUGAGAGGAAGACCAGCCAGACUGGAAUUGAGACACGGGCCAGACUCCUACGGUAGGUAGCAGUGGGGAAUAUUGCACAAUGGGCGCAAGCCUGAUGCAGCCAUGCCGCGUGUAUGAAGAAGGCCUUCGGGUUGUAAAGUACUUGCAGCGGGGAGGCGUUACCCGCAGAAGAAGCACCGGCUAACUCCGUGCCAGCAGCCGCGGUAAUUC
rnacentral:rRNA from 1 species